rnacentral:tRNA from 1 species
UAAACUUUAUUUUAUAUUUAUUAAAAUACGUUUUUUGCGUAAACGAGAAAAAUAUUAAGUUUAU